rnacentral:rRNA from 1 species
AGUAACACGUGGGUUACCUGCCCCGAUGAUUGGGACAACCCGAGGAAACUCGGGCUAAUACCAAAUGUGCUCCUGGCCAUAAUGGCCUUGAGGAAAGGAAGCUUCGGCCUCCGCAUCGGGAUGGGCCCGCGGCCCAUUAGCUAGUUGGUGGGGUAAUGGCCUACCAAGGCGACGAUGGGUAGCUGGUCUGAGAGGACGAUCAGCCACACUGGGACUGAGACACGGCCCAG